rnacentral:rRNA from 1 species
AGAGUUUGAUCCUGGCUCAGAUUGAACGCUGGUGGUAUGCUUAACACAUGCAAGUCGAACGGUAACAUUGGAGCUUGCUCCAGAUGACGAGUGGCGGACGGGUGAGUAACGCGUAGGAAUCUGCCUAGUAGUGGGGGACAACAUGUGGAAACGCAUGCUAAUACCGCAUACGCCCUACGGGGGAAAGCGGGGGAUCUUCGGACCUCGCGCUAUUAGAUGAGCCUGCGUUAGAUUAGCUUGUUGGUGGGGUAAUGGCCUACCAAGGCGACGAUCUAUAGCUGGUCUGAGAGGACGAUCAGCCACACUGGGACUGAGACACGGCCCAGACUCCUACGGGAGGCAGCAGUGGGGAAUAUUGGACAAUGGGCGCAAGCCUGAUCCAGCAAUACCACGUGUGUGAAGAAGGCCUGAGGGUUGUAAAGCACUUUCAAUUGGGAGGAAAACAGCUGGGUUAAUAGCCCUGCUCUUGACAUUACCUUUAGAAGAAGCACCGGCUAACUCCGUGCCAGCAGCCGCGGUAAUACGGAGGGUGCGAGCGUUAAUCGGAAUUACUGGGCGUAAAGCGUACGUAGGCGGUUAUUUAAGUCAGAUGUGAAAGCCCCGGGCUCAACCUGGGAACUGCAUUUGAAACUGGAUAACUAGAGUUUGAUAGAGGAGAGUAGAAUUUCUGGUGUAGCGGU